GUGAAUCAUCGAAUUUUUGAACGCAAAUGGCGCUUCUUGGCAUUCCGGGAAGUAUGCCUGUUUGAGGGUCAGUAUUAAUAAAAAAUCGGUUAAGUUACAAAUUGUGAAGGUUCCGGAGAUUGGGCUAUCUUAAAAUUUUUGGGUGAGAGGCUUAAAAUUGACCUUUUUUGCGCAUUUUUAAAAGUACAUAUAUUUUUUUUUAAUCGUCUAUUCAUAAUGCCA
rnacentral:misc_RNA from 1 species